UACGUAGGGUGCGAGCGUUGUCCGGAAUUAUUGGGCGUAAAGAGCUCGUAGGCGGUUUGUUGCGUCGGCCGUGAAAACCUGCAGCUUAACUGUGGGCCUGCGGCCGAUACGGGCAGACUUGAGUUCGGUAGGGGAGACUGGAAUUCCUGGUGUAGCGGUGAAAUGCGCAGAUAUCUGGAGGAACACCGGUGGCGAAGGCGGCAUCCUGGACCGGUAUUGACACUGAGGCGCGAAAGCCAGGGGAGCAAACGGG
rnacentral:rRNA from 1 species